rnacentral:rRNA from 1 species
GACGAACGCUGGCGGCGUGCUUAACACAUGCAAGUCGAGCGAUGAAAUCCCUUCGGGGAUGGAUUAGCGGCGGACGGGUGAGUAACACGUGGGCAACCUGCCUUAUAGAGAGGAAUAGCCAUCCGAAAGGAUGAUUAAUACCUCAUAAUAUUGUAGCUUCGCAUGGAGCAAUAAUCAAAGGAGCAAUCCACUAUAAGAUGGGCCCGCGGCGCAUUAGCUAGUUGGUGAGGUAACGGCUCACCAAGGCGACGAUGCGUAGCCGACCUGAGAGGGUGAUCGGCCACAUUGGGACUGGGAAACGGCCCAGACUCCUACGGGAGGCAGCAGUGGGGAAUAUUGCACAAUGGGGGAAACCCUGAUGCAGCAACGCCGCGUGAGUGAUGACGGCCUUCGGGUUGUAAAGCUCUGUCUUCAGGGACGAUAAUGACGGUACCUGAGGAGGAAGCCACGGCUAACUACGUGCCAGCCGCCGCAGUAACAC